rnacentral:misc_RNA from 2 species
CAACCCUCAAGCCCCCGGGUUUGGUGUUGGGGAUCGGCUCUGCCUUCUGGCGGUGCCGCCCCCGAAAUACAUUGGCGGUCUCGCUGCAGCCUCCAUUGCGUAGUAGCUAACACCUCGCAACUGGAACGCGGCGCGGCCAUGCCGUAAAACCCCAACUUCUGAA